GACAGAGGCCUCAAGCGUUAGGCGGAAUCACUGGGCUUAAAGCGUGUGUAGGCGGAUCGUUAAGUGUCUUGUGAAAUCCCACGGCUCAUCCGUGGAACUGCUGGGCAUACUGGCGAUCUUGGGCCAACUAGGGGCAACUGGAACAAGCGGUGGAGCGGUGAAAUGCGUAGAUAUCGCUUGGAACGCCAAAGGUGAAAACAGGUUGCUGGGAAUGUGCCGACGCUGAGACACGAAAGCCAGGGGAGCAAACGGG
rnacentral:rRNA from 1 species